rnacentral:rRNA from 1 species
AUUGAACGCUGGCGGCAUGCUUUACACAUGCAAGUCGAACGGUAACAGGCCUUCGGGUGCUGACGAGUGGCGAACGGGUGAGUAAUGCAUCGGAACGUGCCCAAUCGUGGGGGAUAACGUAGCGAAAGUUACGCUAAUACCGCAUGAGCCCUGAGGGGGAAAGCAGGGGAUCGCAAGACCUUGCGCGAAUGGAGCGGCCGAUGUCAGAUUAGCUAGUUGGUGGGGUAAAGGCCUACCAAGGCGACGAUCUGUAGCGGGUCUGAGAGGAUGAUCCGCCACACUGGGACUGAGACACGGCCCAGACUCCUACGGGAGGCAGCAGUGGGGAAUUUUGGACAAUGGGCGCAAGCCUGAUCCAGCCAUGCCGCGUGCGGGACGAAGGCC